UGUAAGCGUAUACCAAAGUUGUUGCAGUUAAAACGCUCGUAGUCGGAAUUUGGCAGUUCCGGAAGUGUGCACGUCGUGUGCGCACUUUGCGGGGACUGCUUUUGCGGUCUUGCGUAGGAUGAGGCACUUUCAUUAGUGAACGUCCUCACGCAACCACUCUUUACUGUGAGAAAAUCAGAGUGCUCAAAGCAGGCAUUUGCCGUGAAUGUAUUAGCAUGGAAUAAUAGAAUAGGACUCGGUUCUAUUUUGUUGGUUUGUUGGGACUGAGUAAUGAUUAAGAGGGACAGUUGGGGGCAUUUGUAUUCCGGCGCUAGAGGUGAAAUUCUUAGAUUGCCGGAAGACAAACUGCUGCGAAAGCGUCUGCCAAGGAUGUUUUCAUUGA
rnacentral:rRNA from 1 species